rnacentral:lncRNA from 1 species
CUACUCUACAGGGCCGGUUGUUGCUGGAGUGGUGGGCCUCACCAUGCCCAGAUACUGCUUGUUUGGAGACACUGUGAACACAGCUUCUCGGAUGGAAUCAACAGGCUUACCUUAUCGCAUUCAUGUCAGUCUCAGCACUGUUACAAUUCUUCAAAAUCUGAGUGAGGGCUAUGAAAUGGAGCUUCGAGGAAGAACAGAGCUCAAGGGCAAAGGCACAGAGGAGACCUUCUGGCUGAUUGGGAAAAAAGGCUUCACGAAGCCCCUUCCUGUGCCCCCACCAGUGGACAAAGAUGGGUAAGUGGAGUUCACAUUUAAUUGGAGUCUUCCUAUGCCAUACUCUGCCACACUUUCUUCACUACCUAUUUGAUGUCUCCCCUGCCCUGCAGGCAAGUGGGCCAUGGCCUACAACCAGUGGAAAUUGCAGCCUUCCAAAGAAGAAAAGCAGAAAGGCAGUUGGUGAGAAACAAGCCAUAAGGGGCAAAGGGCUCCAAGAUUUGAAUCUUCUCUCGGUGAGGCAAUGGAAAAGCUCACUUCAGUUCAACAAAUUGUUCUGCUUGGGCAAGAAAUUAGUGAAUGACUACACCUCUGAGGAUGACCUAAUUCUGGUGUGAGCAGGACACUGGGAAGUAUUUUUAAAAGUUUCGCUCAGUACCCAGCUAUCACUAGCAAGGCUGUAUGAAUGUAAACUGCAAUAGAUGUGAACCUUAUUGAAGAGUAGAGAGCCACCUCCAAGUUUAGUCAUUCCAAAGUAGCAGGCCCAACUUGGAUGAAGAUGAGAAGCUCUCUAUUUUCACAGAAAAAAUGUAGGAGGCACUAUGUUUUCUUUUUCAUUUCGUUUUAAUCUCUAGAAAGUAUUUAAUGAACAUAAUUUAUAACUCAGAUACUAUAAGAUUAGGGCCAGGAAAAAAAAAAAAAAAAAACCUUCAGCAAACAUACAUCUGAAUCCCAGUCUAUUGUGACCUCAAUUGGCUGGAAUGCGUAAGGAAGAAGGAGGGAGAAGAGUCUGGUUAAUUGUGUUGUUUGGAUAACUGAAGGCUAAGAAGUUUCUUUGUUUCCUUAUUGCUCAUUUUUCAAAAUCUUUCCCAAACUGUCACGGUCUCUUU